UCAGGAAANUCUGGAGUAAAAGGCUAUGGCUCAACCAUAGUGUGCUCUGGAAACUNUCUGACUUGAGUGCAGAAGGGGAGAGUGGAAUUCCAUGUGUAGCGGUGAAAUGCGUAGAUAUAUGGAGGAACACCAAUGGCGAAAGCGGCUCUCUGNUCUGUCACUGACGCUGAGGCUCGAAAGCGUGGGUAGCGAACAGGAUUAGAUACCCUGGUAGUNCACGCCGUAAACGAUGAGUGCUAGGUGUUAGGCCCUUUCCGGGGCUUAGUGCCGGAGCUAACGCAAUAAGCACUCCGCCUGGGGAGUACGACCGCAAGGUUGAAACUCAAAGGAAUUGACGGGGGCCCGCACAAGCGGUGGAGCAUGUGGUUUAAUUCGAAGCAACGCGAAGAACCUUACCAGGUCUUGACAUCCCGAUGCUAUUCUUAGAGAUAGGAAGUUACUUCGGUACAUCGGAGACAGGUGGUGCAUGGUUGUCGUCAGCUCGUGUCGUGAGAUGUUGGGUUAAGUCCCGCAACGAGCGCAACCCUUAUUGUUAGUUGCCAUCAUUAAGUUGGGCACUCNAGCGAGACUGCCGGUAAUAAACCGGAGGAAGGUGGGGAUGGCGUCAAAUCAUCAUGCCCCUUAUGACCUGGGCUACACACGUGCUACAAUGGUCGGUACAAUGAGUUGCGAGCCGGUGACGGCAAGCUAAUCUCUGAAAGCCGAUCUCAGUUCGGAUUGGAGGCUGCAACUCGCCUCCAUGAAGUCGGAAUCGCUAGUAAUCGCGGAUCAGCACGCCGCGGUGAAUACGUUCCCGGGCCUUGUACGCACCGCCCGUCACACCACGAGAGUUUGUAACACCCGAAGUCGGUGAGGUAACCUUUUAGGGGCCAGCCGCCUAAGGUNGGA
rnacentral:rRNA from 1 species